GAUUAAAUGACUGAAUUAUAAGUGAUAAAUUGUAAAUUUAUUUAUGAGAAUUUUCUCUUUAAUCA
rnacentral:tRNA from 1 species